UAGUCCACGCCGUAAACGAUGGAUACUAGCUGUCCGAGGCCUUGAGUCUUGGGCGGCCAAGCGAAAGUGAUAAGCAUCCCACCUGGGGAGCACGUUCGCAAGAAUGAAACUCAAAGGAAUUGACGGGGGCCCGCACAAGCGGUGGAGCAUGUGGUUUAAUUCGAUGAUACGCGAGGAACCUUACCAGGGCUUAAAUGUACAUUGCAUAGCGUAGAGAUAUGCUUUUCUCGGACUAUGUACAAGGUGCUGCAUGGUUGUCGUCAGCUCGUGCCGUGAGGUAUCAGGUUAAGUCCUAUAGCGAGCGCAACCCCUACCGUUAGUUGCCAGCAUGUAAUGAUGGGGACUCUAACGGGACUGCCGGUGCAAACCGUGAGGAAGGUGGGGACGACGGUCAAAUCAUCACGGCCCUUACGUCCUGGGCCACACACGUGCUACAUGGCCGGUACAGAGGGAAGCCACCGACGUAAGUGGGACGCGGAUCGUAUAAAACCGGUCACAGUUCGGAUCGGGGUA
rnacentral:rRNA from 1 species